GAACCGCGGAGUAAACACAUAUAAGGUGCCUUCGGCUACCACCCACAGAUGGACUCGCGGCGCAUUAGGUAGUUGGUGAGGUAAUGGCUCACCAAGGAAACGAUGAGUAGCCGACCUGAGAGGGUGAUCGGCCACACUGGGAAUGAGACACGGCCCAGACUCCCACGGGAGGCAGCAGUAGGGAAUCUUCUGCAAUGGACGAAAGUCUGACGGAGCAACGCCGCGUGAGUGAUGAAGGUUUUCGGAUCGUAAAGCUCUGUUGUUAGGGAAGAACAAGUACCGUUUGAAUAGGGCGGUACCUUGACGGUACCUAACCAGAAAGCCACGGCUAACUACGUGCCAGCAGCCGCGGUAAUACGUAGGUGGCAAGCGUUGUCCGGAAUUAUUGGGCGUAAAGGGCUCGCAGGCGGUUUCUUAAGUCUGAUGUGAAAGCCCCCGGCUCAACCGGGGAGGGUCAUUGGAAACUGGGGAACUUGAGUGCAGAAGAGGAGAGUGGAAUUCCACGUGUAGCGGUGAAAUGCGUAGAGAUGUGGAGGAACACCAGUGGCGAAGGCGACUCUCUGGUCUGUAACUGACGCUGAGGAGCGAAAGCGUGGGGAGCGAACAGGAUUAGAUACCCUGGUAGUCCACGCCGUAAACGAUGAGUGCUAAGUGUUAGGGGGUUUCCGCCCCUUAGUGCUGCAGCUAACGCAUUAAGCACUCUGCCUGGGAGCCGGAACG
rnacentral:rRNA from 1 species